GUCUAAAGUCACUGUACACACAAAUUGCUUCUAGUUUGAUUGUUUUAACUUGUAACAAAUAAAGACUAUUAAAUUUGCUAUUUUCACUUAACCACAACCUAAUUCCUAACCUGUAUUGUCUCCGAAAUGUAUUUUUUAGAUAUUAGCCUCAAGCGCUGUAAAUUUCCAUCAGCUUGGGAACCAAAUUUUUGAAAUCCUCAUUUGUCAUAAGCAACAGCUCUCCCUGGGGCUUGAUUCCUGCAUCUUGAAAUACUCGAUUGGCAUCCGGAUUAAAAUCCUGGUUUGCAAAGGGAUAAUCGGCAAUAUCAAUAGCAACUUCGCGAAACUGUUCAUCCUCGGGAUGGAAAAACAUAACUUCCUCACCAGAUGUCUUUUUACUCUUUUUACCUUUUUUGGAAGGACGCUCAUCAUCCAUUAACUUUGAUUCAAUUUCAGUAUAAGUCCGUGAAAGCAGCAAAUAGUGAGUAAAGUUGUAGGGUUCGUUUUCAUUGAUGGCCCAUUGCAUUUCCUCUAAAAGCAUGUUAUACAUAGGGGGGAUUACUUGGACAGGCAUGUUUAUCAGACGUUCAUUCACUAUGAGACCAACUUGGGAGCCAGAAUUUGGUUCCAGUAGUUUCUGUAACUCGUUCUCGAGUCUCGAAUUCGAUUUGGCUAGUCGAGAAAUGAUGUAUGAGGUUAAUUGCUUAAUCACUGGCUCAUCCUAAUAAGUACCGUUAGCUAAAGAUUCCAAAAAUUUGCACUCGAGUGUAAAACAUUGCAGAUGCAUCACCACCUUGUAUGGGCUUGCAAAUUCAAAAAAAAUAAAAACUAUUAUUUCAUACCCUUCUUGUAUUCAAAUUGAUAACAGAAAGCAUUGCAUAAGGAUCAGAAUUGUUACCAUCAACUUUUACAGUUGAACCAAGCAAAGGCUGACUAAGUAUCAAAUCAGCCAAAGCACUAAGAUUAACAUUUGUAUGGUCAUAACCUAAUAAUUGCUUUAACAAGUUCUUAAAGGCAUGAAAGUCAAUGGGUUGAGGGUCAAAGAAUUCAAAAUCUAAUAUAAAAAGUUAAUAUAUGUCAAUACUCCAUUAGUUUCAUCAAUACUUACCUACAUUAAUAAAGUCCGUGUCUACUACUUUCAGGCUUUCAGACAUAACAGUAUCUUCAUUCUCUUCUGCGUGCCUUUUUGCCAUCUUUCGGACGUCCAAUUUAAUGUUGGUAAAAAGUACGAAGCACACCAAGAAAUUUACAACGUAUGCUAAACAAGGUAUCGAACAGAUUUUUAAUAUGUACAGCAAAUAGGUUUUAAAUAAAGGACACAUUUUAUAAUUAUAACUGAACUUCUGGUACUUUAGUAAUUUUUUAACACAUUUGGUUUUUACGUUUGAACAGAAAAUUGGCUAUAUACAAGCAUUCAUACGUAAUCUAAAUUAAAUUAGAAUUUACUAUUAAUAUUAUUUAGAAACCUAAACGUCCGUCGAUAAUCCUUUGCCAGUAUGGACGCUCUAUGACCUAGAUACCAUAUCCCAAAUCCAUAUUUGAUUUACAUUAAUAAAAAUACCCGAUAUUUCCUUUUUAAAAAAUGCUAUUAGAUCGACAACAAAACAACCAUAACUCAGUAUUGUCCCUGCUUUUGGAAGUAAGAACCGAAAAGAGGAGGUAAAGAAUAGGAAGCUUCAGAGCCAUCGGAGUUCUUUCUUCUAUCCUCGUCGUCUUCAUUUUGAAAUUUUACUGAAGAAAGCUUCGAUGAUGUAUCCACGUUUUGGGUUGGGCUGUUAGCUUUUUUUUCGUUUGAUAAUUCAUUCAAUUCGUCAUCUGAACUAGACUCUUCAGAAUCCGAUAUACAAGAGGAAGAAGAGGAAGAAUCGUCUGAUUGCUCCGAGCUUGAAGUUUCAUAACUCGAUUCAGUAUGAACUUGAGUAGUAGACGUGAAAACAUGGAUAGUGGGCACUUCGAAAACAAAGGAGUUCCGUAGACAAGAACUAAGUGAGUUGGAAGGUUCAAUCUUUUUAUAAAUAAAACCUUUGCUUCGCGACUUUCUAGAUUUUAUCAUAAACUGCAUAUCAUCAGGUGCGUGUAUGUUGGCUUUGGAUACCUGUGAGUUCAUUUCGGAAUUUUCUUCAACUAAUUUUCUAAAUAUUUUCUCAAGCGGUUCGCUUUCUGGAUGUGAAUGUGUGAUAAUUGUAUUUUCAGAAGCUUCGUCAGUUAAAUCCUUCGAUGUGCUUGAUUCGUGCAAGCACCAUUCGAUUGACCACUUGAUGAGGUGACUUUUUUUAUCAUAAUGUGUUCUAUUUAAUCUUCUCUUUUUGUUGGAAGGGGGAGCAAACUUGAUAUUAAUGCCUGCCCGUUCAAGCGAUCGCUUUAAUUGCAAUCGAUUUCGCUCUGCACGAUUUGAGACUUGAUGGCUUCCAUUUUCUUUUCGAUUUAUUAGUCUUUCGACACCUGAUAAAAAAUUAAAAUCCGAAUUCAAAUGAUUAACAAGUUUGCUUUUGGGAACAAACGUUGCAGGGUCUCUUUCUCCCGAGCAUUUAGUUAACCGUUUAUGCUCUAAAUUACAUUCCAAACAACAAAAUCGUGAAUCGCAUCUUGGACAACGAUAUUUACUAGCAUUUUUUUGGCAUGUCGAACAAAUUCCAAGUCGAUUUUCACUCAUGGUUUAAAAACGAACAUUGGAGGUGUUAGAUGAAAAUUAGUAAAUGCUCAGCAGAAGAAAUUCAUUGGAAAAUAGCUGAGUUGUAAACAUUAAAUGAUUGUACAAAAAUGCCUUUUCACGAGUUUAUGUAUUUUACUGUAUUCAAGAAUUAUCCAGAUAUUAUUCAACGCAAUGACGAUGA
rnacentral:lncRNA from 1 species